CCUACGGGAGACUGCAGUGGGGGAUAUUGCACAAUGGGGGAAACCCUGAUGCAGCGACGCCGCGUGGGUGAAGAAGUAUUUCGGUAUGUAAAGCCCUAUCAGCAGGGAAGAAAGAAGACGGUACCUGACUAAGAAGCCCCGGCUAACUACGUGACAGCAGCCGCGGUAAUACGUAGGGGGCGAGCGUUAUCCGGAUUCACUGGGUGUAAAGGGAGCGUAGACGGCCGUGCAAGCCAGGAGUGAAAGCCCGGGGCCCAACCCCGGGACUGCUGUUGGAACUGGGCGGCUGGAGUGCGGGAGGGGCAGGCGGAAUUCCUGGUGUAGCGGUGAAAUGCGUAGAUAUCAGGAGGAACACCGGCGGCGAAGGCGGCCUGCUGGACCGCGACUGACGUUGAGGCUCGAAAGCGUGGGGAGCGAACAGGAUUAGAUACCCCAGUAGUC
rnacentral:rRNA from 1 species